GAAUUUUUUAUGGUCGAUAAGUGUCAAAAUAAAUAAUAUUUUUGACGGUUAAUAAGUAUCACAACACUACGGCAGAGGCGGACGAUAGCUGCGACAAAAUAGUGGCAUUGGCCAUAACCGCUGCUCAUUCGAAGGAUAGCGGCACAGGUGAGUGGCGGUCUUUACCGAGGCCGCAAAACACCCCUAGAUAGCGGCCCAGCAGUGAAAAUCGCCGCUCAUUCGGGGUAUAUAUCCUCAGGCCCGCUCGAUUUGGCAAGCCUUCUUGGCGCGAAGAGAAGCAGGAGCAGAGGCGCGAAACACGCCCACCCUUCGUUUCGCAACAUUACCUGGCGAUUACCUCAAGAAACGCAGCUAAAAAUCCGCGUCUUGUGUUUUUGGUAGCGCGCCAAACGAGCAAGCGCAGAGCCCCGAUUCAUCAGCGGAAGAACCCACCCAAAAACCCCCAAUCUUUCGAGCUUUCCUCUGUCAUCCACAAUUCCUGAAACUCAUACUCUCUCCUGUCUAGUUGCGCAGUUCCCAUCGCGACCUCUCCCCUGUCACUGGUUAGUCCUGACACUCUGAUCUUUUCUUGCUUUUUUCAUUCUUGGUUAGAAUUUUGCAAAAAAAAUUUGAUUUUAUCUGUCUUUU